CUGGCUCAAGAUGGUGUGAUAAAUGAAGAAGCUCUUUCUGUUACUGAACUAGAUCGAGUCUAUGGAGGUCUUACAACUAAAGUCCAAGAAUCUCUAAAGAAACAGGAGGGACUUCUUAAAAAUAUUCAGGUCUCACAUCAGGAAUUUUCAAAAAUGAAACAAUCUAAUAAUGAAGCUAACUUAAGAGAAGAAGUUUUGAAGAAUUUAGCUACUGCAUAUGACAACUUUGUUGAACUUGUAGCUAAUUUGAAGGAAGGCACAAAGUUUUACAAUGAGUUGACUGAAAUCCUGGUCAGGUUCCAGAACAAAUGCAGUGAUAUAGUUUUUGCACGGAAGACAGAAAGAGAUGAACUCUUAAAGUAAGUCUGUUUUGUGUACCAAAUUGUACUUAAAGAAUUUUCUUUUAAAAAAUCAUGUAGAGACUUUUG
rnacentral:lncRNA from 10 species